AACCCCAACCUGCUCACAUGGGUUCGUUUCAACCACAUCAAGGGUUCAAUGUCGUACAAAGAUAACAUCCUCGCGAUAAGCUCCAUCGAGCCAUUCAUGUUGGGAUUGAAGGAACGAAGAACGGUGAGGGUGAAGAUAUCGACGAUGGGGUUGGGGGAAGAGGAUCGUGAUCAUCAGCUGGUGGUGAAGAAGAGGGUUUUGGAUGAGAUGAUGAGCAAGAGACGUGAGGAUGGAGCUGUGCAUUUUAGCAUGCAAAUGUUUGUUUGGGCCACGUAUAGGACUGGUUUGUGGGGGACACAACAAGAUGUUGUGAUGAGCCCUCAGUGUUUGGAUUUGAAGGUUGGGUUCUCGCGUGGAAUUGGGUUCGGGAGUGGGAUUAGUGGAGGGCCUAUGAUGUGUUCUGUUCCUAUAUUAAUUAAUUGACCAAAUUAGACUUUUUCUUUCUUUUUUCAUGUAGAGGUUUUUAGUUUUAGAUUGUUAAUUUGAUCGAUGUAGGAGAAUCAAAAUCGAACCUGUAAAUUAAGAACAAAGAAAUGAAUUGUUUUACGCAUCAAAAUUGAAGGUGAAUAUGAACGUGAUGUUAUGAAAUUCUUUGAUGAUCUUUGUCUGGACUUGGAUAAAUAAAAAAGUGUAUACUAGUGAUUUAUCUUAUGAAUUUGUACUUAACUUUUGAUUUGCCCUAUCUUUUUUUUUAAAGAAAAUUAAGGAUAUAAACUUUUUUUUUCCGUCAAUUUCUCCCUUACCGUCUAAAUCCACAACAUUUCAUCUAAUUUGUCGUUAAAUAUGAGGGCAAAUUGGUCAUGUUGUACUUCUAAAAUAAAAUAAUUUGAACUUUGAAAUAAUAAUAAAUAAUGAUAGGAAAAAAAAAGGUUUUUUUUUUUUUUUUUUUUUUAAGAGUAGAGAAAAUGUCAUCCUCAGACUUCCUAUUAGCCUCUGAAUUUCUGCUUACCAACUCCACUUCCUAUAAGCUUCAUACCAACCCCUUUCUUCCCCAAAAUUGAACACAUCCCAUACAACAACACCAAAACCUCCACCAUAUAUUUGAACAAAAUCCCCCAUAUGUACUUAUUUGAACACACACAAAAAACCCAGAUCCAUUUGAUCAAAAAUCGCACAAGGGGCAGAGGGGUUGUGGUGAGGUGGGUGAUUUUGUGGUGUCAGGGAUGGACCUGGGGUUUGGGGGAAGAGAGAGAGAGUGUGUGAUGGUUGUGGGGUGGUGGCUGUGGGAGGGUGAGUUGUUGAGAGAGAGAUGGAGAUUGCGAUGGAUAAAGGGGUGGUCGUGGGUUUAAGGGUGUGUUGUGAAAAGGAAGGCAGCGACGGUGGGAAGGGGGGAUGGGUUGCGAAUUAGUCUUGGGGUGAGUUGCAGGUGGGAAAUGGGUAGUCAGGUUGGGGAAGAAAAAGAGAGAAGGGAGGGGGGUUCUGUGGGUAGGAUAGGUUUUUGUUUUGUUCCUUUUUUUUAUAAUUUUUUCUAAAAAUAUAAAUUUUAUUUUAAUAAUUUAACUGAAAAUUGGAUGCAAUGUUGAUGAUUUAGACGGUAGGGAGAAAAUUGGAGAAAAAAAAAUUUUAUAUUUUUAAUUUUCUAAAAAAAAAAUGAUAGGGGGUCAAUUGAAACCAAGGUAUAAGUCAAGGGACAAAUCACUAGUAUACCAUAAAUAUUUCACUACAUAAAUGAAAUAAACAGAAGAUUUCUAGAAUUUACACGUGCUCUUACAGAAAUUUCAUUAAGUAUUUGGUGUGCAAAUGAAUUUUUAUUAAUUUACUAGAGUCACCCUGAAAAUAAAAUAAUUAUCAGAAUAUAACUCAAAUUUAAAUCUCCUUUUUUUCUAUUAAAAACAACUAAUCCUCCUCGUAAAAAUAUUUACUCUCCUCAUUGUUUUUCGGUUGGAUCCUCCACUUACAUUAUAAUUGUAAUUUAUGCUAAUAGGGUCUAGUUCAGUUAAAAAAUACUUUGAUUUGCAAACUAUUGGUCUCAAGUUUGAAUCAUAUAGCACCGUGAUAGGUCUAUAUGAGAAACCCCACUCUCUAUAGUUUGGACAAAAAUUAUUGAUAUUUGAUCUAUCCUUUCAGAUGUACUUGACUCUUUCCAAACUAUUUGCACUUGUGAAAGGACACGAACUGCAAACAUCACUUCGUUUUACCAAAGCCAAAAAACGUCUUCAACCACCACGCGUAUAUAUCCUUCAAAACAAAUAAAAUAAUUGCCCUGCAAACGCAACUUGAUUUUAACCGCUGCCAUCUUCCCUCAUUUGUUCCUCUCUUCUCCCUCAUCAUCUCCACCUUUCUCCCAUCCAUUAUAAAUCCUUAAAUUCAGUAACUUAUAAUUAGUACUGGGAAUUUUGCUUCACAUAUUGGAUUGAUUCAAGACCAAGGAAACUUAGCAUCACAAGGUACGGCUUUCUUUCUCUAUCUUUAAAUUGUUAUAAACUUCGUCUGGGUAAAAUUAAGUUGUCAAAAUCAGUAAUUUGGUGAACGGUUAUAAAAUCCAAGUCUUGCAAAUUGUCUCUUUGAUUUGUCCUCUUGAAGCUUCUUAUUUGAUUAAUUAUACCAAGUGAGUAAUCUAUUUGGAGAGUGUCUUACAAGUAUGUUUGUAGCAACAAAUACCCUGCAAUACUGCAUUUAAGAACAAACUACCUACUGCCAACGGGGUCUAGCCUAGUGGUAAAGGGCCUUGACUUGCAGAUCAGAGGUUUCAGGUUCAAAUCUCACGGCAUCAUAGUAGUGUGUGUGUGAGAAAUCCCCCACCCCUGUAGUUUAGACCAUCACUUGUACUAAAAAAAAAAAAAAACUAUUGAACAAACUACCUACUACAUUUUAUUUCUAAUUUCUUGUUAGACUUUUUAUAGCUUUGGCCGAUCACUCUUUUUUUUUUCUUUUUUUUUUGGUUGUGAAAUUAGUAAAAUAGUAUUUUUAAAUUGAGGAAUUAACAAUUUUAAUUCGGUCUAUAGAUUAUAUUAAAAAAAAUGAUGUUCUAACAUGUUAUAUAUUGCUAGACUACGAACCACGAGUAUUCUCUUUCACUGAAUAAUCGGUGAAAAUUUCCCUAACAUAUCCAUCUUGAACUUUGUAUUCUCUCUUUCAGGAAGAGUUAUGCAUGGCUUCUUUGUGGUGCAAAAAGUCUCCAGAUUGCAGUAAAAUUCGUGGAUACAUCCUGCUUUUUGUUAUAGUGGUGAGUCUAGCAACAGUCAUCGGAUUUUCUCUCUGGUUCUUAGGCAACUAUGUGGAUUCAAAGUCCGGCCCAGGAACAGACCCCCUUGUGCUUCGUUUGGAUGCAUUUUCUCUAUCGAAUUUCGAGGUUUCGAAUUCAUCAUUCUCAGCUGAAUGGGAGGCCAAGUUGACAUUUGGGAACCAAAACGGUGGCCUAACUGUUACCCUCAACCCCUUUGAGAGUUAUGUGUUCUAUAAAGAACGUGAGGCUCUAUCAUGUGCUUCUGUGGAUGCAAUGUUGCAUGUUCCUCCAAGGAAACAGAAAACUCUGCAGAUCAAAUUUGAUCCGACAAGUUGCGGAGGAGAACAGCCGUAUGUGGAGGAUCGAGUGAUGAAGGAGUUGAGUGAAGAUCGAAAGAGUGGUCACCUUAGCUUUAGUUUGAAAAUGCGCAUAGAUGCUUCUUAUAGUAUGAGGGAGCUUUUGGGAAUGGGAACCCAAGUGACUUUAAAUCCUAACUGUUCAGGGUUGAAGGUUCAGUUUGAGGGUGCAAAAGGGGAGGGAAAGAUAAAUGGGGGCCGCAAGUGCACCAUUCCAUUACCUAAAUGAUCAUGCAAUUCUUACCGUAGGUAAGGGCCGGCUCUGAAAUUUUAAGGGAUUAUAGCAGGCGAAGAUAAGCUCAUGAAAUAGGAUUAAUGUAAAUUUCGUAUAGAUAAGUUGUUUAUUUCAAAAAAAUUGAGUCCUUUUUACUUGGGCCAGAGCACUUGAAAAAAGUAGGCAAAGCCCAACUUGUGAGAAAUUCUUGUGAUUUAAAAGUAGCAGGUUUUGCUAUAUAAGGAAUUAUUAACUCAACAAGUAACGGAUGUCACGUAAAAGGAAAUCAAAUCAAUGUGAUUUAAUUUUCUGGUUUUCUUCUCAUUUUAAAUUUUAAGCACCCUUGCAUUAAAUCAUUGAGUUUAUGCCAAAGGAUGCCAAUUAGCAUUAACACUGAGCUUAUCCAUUUUUGACCUCCAUGAAUUAAUGACAUAAAUUUUUUGAACCAAAAUGUGCACUGAUUCUCUGAAUUUGACUGCCAUUUCAAUAUUAGUUUUUCCCAAUACUCUCCCAUUCACACCUUAACUCAUUGCAGAAAAACAAAAAUGGGCCCUUUGUGGUCUCGUCGCCACAAGGCACUGGCGGAAGAAAUGUCCUUGAAAUUGGCUGCUGCUACAAUCCUCAUCACAUUACUUGCAUUUGUCACCACCGUAUGCUUGUCGUUGAACGGCGGCGUUCGAACAUAUCCCAUUGCCAUUGCUCAGCACUCUUUCUCUGUCUCAAACACAACGAAACUCGUCUCUGAACUGCAGAGCGCUGUUUGGGAUGCAGAGUUGAAGUUCAGCCAGAACAGUGAUCUGCAAGUUCACAUCAAACACUUUCAGGGCUUCGUGUACUACCCGAAAUUCGAACCGCUGUGGUGUGCCUCACUGAAGCCAGUGGACGUUGAGUUCAGGAGCCCAAAUGGGCUGCACAUAAGAUUUGAUAUGAGAGAGUGUGGGGAGGAAGGGCUCGGGGUUUCGACAGAGGAAGCUCUGAAGGAGGUUCGUUUGGAAAUGAAAAUGGACCUGGUUGUGCCUUACCAGUUUGGAAAGACCAGAAUUUGGGCCUGGCUUUGGGGAUUGAGUGUUGAAGAAUCUUGUUCUGAGUUGAGAGUUGAAUUUGUGUCUUCGGUUGGAGAGGGGAAACUGAUUGGUGAGGGAGGAUGGUGCUUUGUUCCAUUGCCUGAGUAAUUUUGAGUUAUGAUCAACUCAUGCCAAUCUAAAUAAUCUUUGUUUUUGCUUCCCCUUUUAUUUAAUUUUGUUUUGUUUCUCCUCUAAAUUAUUACCUCACAGAAUUAGGCAUCAAGCAGACAGACACAAAGAAGAGAGUUUGAGUCUCCACUCUCCUCUCUUUUUUUUUUAAUACGCAGAAAAGAAAAAUAUGAAACUGACAGGAUCACCCUCCAUUCAUACUGAAGGAGACGAGGUUACGUGACUUUGCAGUUUUCAUAGUGAAGUUUGAAAAGGGUCAAAUAAUGCCAAGAUUUUGUCACUUUCUUCGUUUCAAUGUUAAAUGUCCUCGAUUAUCACAAUCAUGAUUCAUCACGCCUCGUUUACUUCUUUAGCUUUUAUUUCCAUGUUCGAUUAAUUUCUUAAUCCCUUCAUUUUCUCCCUUGAUUGUUUCCUUUAAAUAUUCUAGUUUACCAUUUUUAGUAUAAUUCUCUUGUAUUUUUAGUUUUCCGUGUUGGAUUAAUUUCUUGUAUAAAUACUGAAUUCUGCUCCCAGUAGCGCUAUGGGCACCAACUUUUUUUAUCAAUUUUUUGAUACCAACUUAUGUAGCAACUGACAUGGCAAUUCAAGUCAUUUGCCACCUCAUCUAUUUUAUUUGAAUAAUUUAAAUUAAUGCACAUAAUCUAUUUUAAAUUAAUUUAUUUAACUUUUAUAUAUUUAUCUCUUCUCAAGUCAUCUCCAUCAUCCAUUCCCAGCCAACAGCUCCUCCAUCGUAGCACCGCCACGAUCAUGAUGAUAGCAAAUUGAUGGUUACGUUUAUAGAUGAUAAGAUGAUGCUCAUCUCUGAUUUUGGGUUUUGGACAUUUAUGGUUCCUGGAUUUGGUUGAGAGUAUGGCGAGGAAGAAGAAUCAAAGGAGAGUAAAGGCAUGAGCAUAUAUAUAUAUAUAUAUAUAUAUAUAUAUAUAUAUAGUUCUGAUCUUUUGGACCACAGGAGUCCAAGAAAUUUGUGGUCACUCACCGUUGGAUGUAAAUUCAACGGUUCACUCACUCUUGCACUCAUUUUAAAAAACUUUUUUCAACCAUUGGAUUAAUAUCCAACGGUAGAUAACCACAAUCUCUUAGACUCCUGUGGUCCAAGAAAUCAUCGGGACUAUAUAUAUAUAUAUAUAUAUAUAUAUGAAUAGAGUUGGUGAAUCAUAGGAUCUUAUAUGCAGUCUCACACCGAUCACAUCCCAUAUAUUUGGUUUUUCUUUGGAUGAUAAUCACUGGUUUUCUUUGAACUUGGCUGGAAAACUAUUAUUGCUUUGUUGAUUAUUAAUAUUAUUGUAAAUUCUACAAAACAACUAAUUACGUUGAUACUAUGAUUGGUAUGAAAACAUUGAGGAUUUAACAAAUCAGUUAAGAGAGGUGUGAUGAGAGCUCUUCAAUGGAAGGAAUGAUUAUUGAGUUUCUAGGGCUUUUUUGGGGUUGGGGAAGGGUUCACCGUUGAACCAAAACUUAUGGGUAUUUUUCUUUCUUUUUAUUUUGUUGGACAAUUUCUCUUUCUUUUCUUUUUUUUCUUUUUUCUUUGUUCAGGAACAAAAUGUGUAAUUAAAAAAAAUGACAUGGCAAAUGACAAGGAUUGCAAUCUCAUGUACUACAUCUAUUGGAGAAAUUAUAGAAUGCUAUUGUAUUACCAUGUCAGCUAAUUAUACUUCCAUUCAAAAUAUGUCAUACGUCAUUUUAAAAAAAGUAUAAUUUUUUGUUUUACAGCUGGACUUUUGCCCUCUAGAAUAAUAUUUGAAAAAACAAAAAAACCAAAGACGCCGGAAACCAACUCCCACGACAACUCAAAUCUUCCUACCUUGCACUACCAACCACCCAACCCAAUCGCCCAAGGGUUUUGAUUGGCCACCUGGUUAAUCUAAAACAAGAACCACAUAAAGAAAUAACUGGAAAUAACAAUAACUGAUUAUUCCCUUUGUGGUUUCUGUACAAAUGAUUAUCAACAAACCAAAAAAAUAAAAUAACCAGCACACUAUAGAAACCUGUCGAGUCCCUAAACGAGCUUCAUAAUCCAUGGACUAUUGGGUUGGUGGAAGAAGUGCGAGGAUGGGGAUUGGGUUGUGGUGGGAGGUGGUUUCGAGUGGCUUCUUUGGGUUUUUCCUUUUCUAAAUUUUUUUAAUAAAAAAGUCUUAUUCUACAGUUAAAAGAAAGUAUUAAAUUCAGCUGUAAAAAAAAUUAUAAUUUUUUAAAAAAACAUGAUAUAUAGCAUAUUUUGAAUGAAAGUACCGCUAGCUGACGUGAUAGUACAGUAUCAUUCUAUAAUUCUCCAUGUGUUGGUAUCAAUUAAUUGGUAAACAAGUUAGUGCCCGUAGCAUUAUUGUUUUGCUCCUUUCAAUUAGGGAUGAGCAUUGGUGGAUCGAACAGGUUUGGACGUUACACAUCAUGUGAAUCGGAUUUAUAACCACCGAUACAUCGACAAGUCCAACUCAGUUGAUUUGCGGGUUGGGUCAGGCAGGCACCGCAAGUUGGAGGAAGGUGAAACUUGCACAGAGCCAAAUAGAUGAAGCCUUGAAGAUGGAACUUUGAACUUGGUUGGUAGGUGGCUAUGGCGGGGCGACAACUAUAUCAAGAGACAAUUUCAUAUUUGGGAGUGAGGGAAUGAGGGCCACGUCAUGUUCAUGUAUGUAACUUGCAAAAAAAUUGUACAAUUUUCCAUGGGAAAAUUAUGCUCUCCCCACGUAGCUUCUCCUCUAAUAGUUGAGGAUGAAGGAGAUAAGCAAUCAGACAAUGGGAAAAUUUUCAAGUAUGGUGUUUCGGGCAGAGGCACUCAGAAAACACACCUAAGUAUUCCCCUAAAUAAACUCAUGCUUGCAACACAUGAUCUUUAAUGUGUGCCAUUGUUCGUGGCCAUGAAGAUUGACAUGGGGGUGCUAAUAUGCCAAUUUUGCUAGCUAUAAUCCUUUUGUCUUCAUCACUUAUUUCCUUAACAUAGAUUACAACUCCUAAUUAAUUACCUUGUCCUACGCUCUUUCCGCGGCUUUUCACAGCACACCCACCUAUUUUUACACUCUCAUUUCCUUCAAUAAUUAAUCUCCCUCCAAUACACAUUUUAAUCCCCUACCCCAAAAACUCCCUCCUUCUCUCUCUCUCUCUCUCUCUCUCUCUCUCUCUCUCUCUCUCUCUCUCUCUCUCUCCCGGAAGAUUCCUGAGAGAGAGAACGAACAUCCCGUAUAUAUAAUUAAUAGCAGCACAUAUGGCUUCCACAACCGAAACUAAUCAACCCCGCUCCUCCGACCAACCCGCAACACAAUCAUCAGAAGCCCACCAACCUCGAGCCCCCAUUGACCCCUACCCCCCGCCCGCCGGGGGCACCUAUCCGCCAUCCAACAUGAGCUACGCGCACCCACAAGGAUACCCCACCGUAGCGCCCCCCUACCACGGGUACCACCCGAGCGCCUACAACCCUUAUUACGGGGACCCCUACUACACCACCACCUCCUACAACCAAGCUGACGAGGCCGCCAGCAGCUGCUUCCGGUGCUUCUGCAUCAUCAUGUUCCUCCUCGUCAUCUUCACCCUCCUUGCCAGCAUCGUCAUGUUUGUCGUGGUCCGCCCGGAAACCCCGGCCUUCAAGGUCGAGUCCUUUAGCGUCUCCAACUUCAACCUCGUCCCAGGGAGCAAAGUGCUCUCCGGGAAAUGGGAGGCCUCCAUCUACGUGGACAACCCCAGCUACAGGAUGAAGUUGGAGAUAGACAGGUGGGAGACCUCCCUGUACCACAAGGACAACUAUCUCGCGAUGGGCUCCGUCAUGCACUCCAUGAAUCUCGAAUCUCGGUCAAAAGGCACGAUGCACAUGAAGAUGGAGACGUACAAUACAACGGCGAGCAGCGCGGUAGAGGACAUGGAGAAGGAGCAGAAGGAGGGCGGGAACGUGAGCUUCAAUUUGAGGUUGACGCUUUCGUACGACAUGAAAGCCAGUGGUUUUUUGUAUAAUCACUAUAGUAACUACAGAAGUGGGACCCUCCGGGUGAAAUGCUCGGAUUUGAAGGUGCCGCUGCCGGCGGGGUCAAAUACUGGCAGCAUGCCCAGUGGGAGCUCGAAGGCAUGCGAUAUCUCCGAUGGUUUCUGAUUAUUUAGUCAUAGACGAGAAAUGGGUCGGAUAUUUUUUGUAUGGUCUCUCGGUCUCAUUUACUUUCUUCCCAUGUCUCCUCCAUAUGUGGGAAUUGUGUAUUUGGCUAACUUAUAUUAGACGAAGUCAUAUGUUCAUAAUUUUAGAAACCCUUAAAUCUGUUAAUUUUAUUGUAGAAAAUUCUUUAGACUAUUGUUUCUAGGAUUUCUUGUGCUUUGUUUAAUUUUAAUUUUGUUAUAACUAUAUAGUGACACAUAAUGACUAACUCGGGAUCUGACCGUAUUUCUCUUUUCAGUAUUAAAAGGCAUUAGUCAUAUUAUUUCAUGUUUGUAUCGAAUUACACAAUACUAACCGAAGUUAUAGAAGAUUCUUAAUCCAUUCAUUAAUCAUGUAUGGUUAACUAAAUGCAAAAUUUCUCAACUUUAACAUAAGUUACUCAUUCUUUGAUAAAAACAUAUAUAUAGUUUAUAUUCAAUUGAAUAUGUUUGGAUAAAUUUUAGCUUUCGUUAUUGACCAAUGAUAUGGAGAACACUGCACAAUGUGAUCCGCGAUCGUCCCUUCAUGUCUAUUGUUUUUGAGGCACUUUGCAAAUAAGUCUCUCCAAAUUCUAUUUCAUAAUCAAAUUUGAACUAAAAAAAUAAACCUUUAGACCCGACUUUUAUUGAAUCUAAUAAUACCAAUUGAUAGGUCAACAGCGUUUAGCUCACUGAAAAAGUGAUAUUGACAGGAGAAUAAUUAUGUAGUUUAGACUAUUCAGUCCUGAUCUCUCAGACCACAAGAGUCCAAGAAAUUGUGGUCACCCACCGUUGAAUAUUAAUCCAAUGGUUCAAAAAAGUUUCUUAAAAUGAGUACAAGAGUGAGUGAACCGUUAAAUUUACAUCCAACGAUGAAUGACCAUAAAUCUCUUGGACCCCUGUAGUCCAAGAGAUCAGAACUGCUAGACUAUUAUCACCAACAUUAGGAUGUGUAUUGCACUAAUUGUGUUUUUUCUUCGUGAAAAAGCUCCAUUAAACGAGUUGACAAAACAUCUAUAAAAAGUGUUAGGCUCAACAUUAUGCUUAAAGCAAAGGCCACCAAAAAAAAAAUAACGAAGUAGGAGUCCAACAAACACGCAUAUGUCCAUUUGGGCUUUAUCGAUUCAAAUACGCGGAGCGGGUAACCGCGAACCCGAACCCGCUUCGCAUAAGAAACAGAUAGGGACAAUGACGAGCCGACAAGUGUCACCACCGUAGAAGGCGGGGAGAGAUUCCUCAGUGCGGCGCUUCAACUUAAGUCUACGCCCUCUGCCAAACAAAAAAGAAUACAAAAAGAAAAAACAUAGAAUUACGCGUUAUUUGCCAAGCAAUUCUAUCAACAAUCAAACUGUAGCCCUCAAGCAACUUUGUGCUCUCAGAAAUUUUUUUUUUUUUUUUGUGGUAAUUUUUUUUCGCAUAGUAUAUCUAUCGUAUCGACCGACCAAACACCUCCUCCUCUACCUCUACGCCUACCUUUUAUUUUUUCCUUACCUCUCUGUCUCUUGGAAACCAAAAACUCAAUUAGCUCUCUCCGCUCUCAAAUGGCUACCUCAGCUGCCGGCGCCGAUGAUGGUCGUAACAAGACGGUGACCGGCUACCCAGUUGAGCAGGGUCAAUUCGCAGCCGGCUACCCAGCCGCCGGAGCCUACCCCUACGUGGCCCCACCGCCGCCUCCUCACGCCAACACUUACCGGCCCAUGGGCCCACCUCCUUACUACGCCCCUCGGCCCACUGGGCCCAUCACGCCCAAUAGGCCCACCCUCCUCUGCCGCCUCCUCAUUGCCGCCAUCGCCGUCUUCGCCAUCAUGUCCCUCGUCUUCUUCAUCGCCUGGCUUGCACUCCGCCCCCGCCUCCCCGAGUUCCGGGUCGAAUCGGCCUCCGUCUUCCCGCUCAACGCCACUGGCUCCGAGCUCACCGCCACCUGGGACCUCACCCUCCUUGCCAACAACCCCAACCACAAGCUCAGAAUUUACUACGACAGCAUCCAGGCCUCACUAUUCUACGGCGACGAUUACCGGCUCGCCACGACGUCGUUGCCUCCCUUUGUUUUGACCAAGAGGAACCAGACGCGUGUCGGGUUCAAGCUGGCGACGGUGGGGGAGUACGUCGGCAAUUACGUGGCCAAGGGGAUCUCCGACGAGAGGGAUCGUGGGUCGGUGAGGUUCGGGCUAGGAGUUUUUGCUUCGGUUCGGUUUAGGUCUGGAGUGUUCCAGUCGAGGCCUCGCGUGUUGCGGGUCUUCUGCGAAAGGGUCGAUUUCGGGUUUGCCCAGAAGAAUGGGACGGGGACUUUGACGGGUCAGUCAAGUCCGUGUGUGGUUGACGUGUGACUGUGAGUAUAAUUAGUCCAUUGGAUUAACACAAAUUGGUAAAUGCUAUAUUUAGUCGUUGUUCAUGAUUUUGGGUUAUGGAAUAUAAUUCGUGAUCUUCUGAAUCCAAUUUCUCUCUGUUCUUUUAUGCUAGCUAAUGAUAGUAUAUUUUUUUUCAAUUAUUUUAUUAUGAUUUCUACUAGUUUUCUUUGUUUUGGAGGUAAAUACCAUUUUCCCCGUUUUGCAUAUGCUAAUUGGCAUUUGAAGUGUUGAGAUGGGUUAGAUGAUAAUAUGGGACAUUGCCACAUUAGGUUUUGUAUUUGUGUUAGAAUAAAGAGCAAUGUGAUUGUUUUUAGUGUUCUGGGGCUUUGUCAUUGUGAUUCAAACUCCAGAGCCAGAGACUGUAGGGUAUUGAGUGUUGCUUGGUGAAGCUUUAAUCGAGUGUUGACUCAUUUGGUAGAGAUGCAUAAAUGCAUUCUGAAUGGAUUAUAGGGUUUUCCCUCCACCCUUGAAUGCCACUUACCACACAGUCACAAGGAAAAAAGUAAGUGCGCACCAACCGUAGUUGUCUCCAAGCAUAACAUUUGAAGAAACUCAUCCCUAUUGUUUGUUAAUGAUAUCAAACCAUUGUUCGUGCCUUCAAAGAUUAUGCGCUUGAGAAGAAUGGUAAAGACUUUAUUUAAGCAUUGGAUUUGUGGUAGUGGCUACUAAGCCUCUCUGUUAGGAUGUCUGUUUUAUUGUGCUUAAUGCUGGUUGUAAGUCUAGGGUUGUGAUUCAAGCUGUUGUCUUGUGAUUCAAGUCAAUAGUAUUGGAACAGUACAAGAUUUUCCUGGGGAAGGGGAGCUUGGUCUACUAGGAACUAGCAAGUAGUGUGAUUUUACCUAUGUAUUGAGAAAUUGUUUAUUGUUUUGCUCUCGAAGAAUUAAAACGAAUCUCUCUACUUACUUCAUCAUCGUAGAGAUCAAUUCUUUUUAUAGGAGUUUGGUGUUAUUUGUUCUCUCUCUCUCUCUCCGCCCAUAGGAUAACAUCAUAAUGUUUAUCUUUUCAGACUCUGAAUUUGUGCUCAUGUAAAUGUGGUGUUGAAUGUUUGCUUGUAAUGGUCGAAUUGUGCUUUAGGCACUACUGUACGAGUAACGAUUAAGAGGAGUGGCUAGGUAAAGACUGUAGUUGCAGUUAAUUUGACUUCCAAACCAUUUCUACUACAAUGUUAAGUUUCAUAGUAGGUUAUGAUUUGGGUUCAGUUGAUAUAUGAUAAUAAUAGAACUGUUGUCAAAUGUAAAGUCAUUCUCUUUCUGAUUUUGUAGCUGUUGUCAAAUGUAAAGUCAUUCUCUUUCUGAUUUUGUAUUUACUCCUUUCCUGGCUGCUUUCCAUUUAGGUUUUUUCCUUUGAAACUCAGCUGCAUGUCUUCUUGUAGGAGAAAAAACACCAAACUUUUGUUCUGGCAACAUUUUAAUUACGUCAUACUGUAUUGCAUGUUUUCUGCUCCAUUUUAACUGUGUCAAUAUGCUGUUAAGUUGGCCAAACAGGGAACUUUUUAUGUUUGCUCUGUACUACUACGUCAAAGCUUGCCUGUAUUAGCUUUCACACUUUCAGUAUAGUUCUGAGCUGAUGUAGUUGCAUUGUUAUUGUUGAAGUUUUGAUUUUGAAAAAUUCAGAAUUUUGGGCUCAGAAGCCAUGCGAGGUUGGAGAUUAGAAAAGGGGCAUUGCUCGUCUUGCCCAAUGCGUUGAUGUUACUUGUUUUUAAUACUUAAGAGAAGCAAUUAUGUGCUUCUGAAGUCUCUUAUCAUACUUGAAUUUUAGUACUGGUUUUAAACUAUUAAUCUAGUGAUGCCAAACACUGUCCUUUUGUCCUUGAUGCUGAAGUGGUUUUAGUUUUACUUUGAUUUUGAUGAUUUCAUUUCUGAUGUUUAUAGGUGUUAGAGGUUAAUGUGUGUUGAGAUUGUUUUUCUGCUCUUUUAUUUUCUGUUUGUGGUUGAAACUUGAAACAUAGAAUCAGUUUCCAAAAAAUUGAAUUCAGUAUUUCAGGUUGGUACUGUAGUUCCUAUGAUUGGUGACAUAGUUGUAGCUCAACAGGUAGUUCAUAUUUUCCUAAUUUUAAAAGAACUUUUUAUUUUAAAGGUCCUUUUAGUGACAUUUUUGUUUUUUACUUUUAAGCUUUUCUUUAACGAGGUAGAGGGGGAGAGGUGGACGGUUCUUAGGAGAAAGGUGAGGGAAAAAGGAGAGAAAAAAUACUUCAAAAGUUCUAAAAAGUAAAAAAGCAAUUUAAAUGGCUUUUAGCCUGUUACUUUUAAUUCUCUCUACUUCUCCUGUCUUGUUCAUCUCUUUCAUCUCCUCCAUCACUUUAAUUUUCUAUAAAAGCUGUUAUCAGGGAUGCCUUCACUCCGCGUUUUUCUUUUGCUGGCAUUUAUGUAGUAGGCUUCAUCUAUUAAAGAGUUAUGAUUAAUCAAGGCAUGAGGCAUCAGUUUCAGUUAGGCGAAAUUAGGUUUUCAACGAAGAAAUAAAGCCUUACAAGUUCCUCGUCAUUACUUGCAUGUACUUUGCUUUUGAACUAUUCCAUCAUCAGUUCAACAAUUGAUUGAUGUGUAGAAUUUGGUCUUGGGUGUAUUGACUUGAGAUAGGUUGAAGAUGUAUUUAGUUGGUCCAUGCUUAGAGCUCUGAUUUGCUGGCUGAAAUGGUUUAACUUUUGGAAAUUUUCCUCUCUAUUUCACCGGUUGUACAGAAUCAUGUGUCUAUUAUGACGUGACACCUUAACGACCCUAAACUCGGACUAGAAAGAGUUCAAUCCCUCCCUCCUAUAUAUAAGUAUUAGCAAUUGUAUAGGUAUCUUUGGUUCCACCGCUUGUUUAAGUAAGGAGGCAGUGGGAUGAAGUGGUUGCUUGGCCGACAGAGCUUUCUGGGGUGGCCUAAAUAACUUUAUGAAAGCCUAUAUAUUAUGCAGAUAGCAUUGGCAAUGGAAUUAUUUAUAAACUAAUAACACUUUGAUUAUAUCUUAUAAACAUGAUAAGAUUCUCAGACACGAUAAUAGUGUACAUAUUUGUAUAUCUCCAGUUGGACAUGAUUAGGACGCUAGUGGAUUGAGAGAGAUUGACAUUGAUUUUUAGUGCAUGUAAAAGUAAUUGUGUAAAUAUCUGGGAUGUUUCUUCUUUUUUUUCUUUUUCUUUUUUUCUGUUUUCUUAUGGGCCCGUGAAGAAACAGCAUUGGAAUGAAAAUUCUGUGUCCAAAUUAGGAACGCGUGAGGGAUGAGACAUGGUUGCCCUUUGUCAUUUUCUACUGCUGAUUAGGACAAUCAGAAUGUGGAGGGAGCUAUUUGAUUGAUGAUUGAACAUAAGAAACUAAUCAAAUUAUCUGUUGUGAAGUUUAAUAAAAGAAGAGACACAAAUCUACAAGUCUCACGCAAUGAAAGCUAAAUCCAGAUUUAUUUUUGUAAGAAAACAAAGUCGUCCUACUAGCAAUUGACUGAUUUCACUUGACCAAAAGGUUGGGAUAGCAAUUUUUCCCGUCACACCCAAUCUCCACAUUGAUCUGUCCCGAAUGGGAUGGGGAUUGAGGCUUCUGCCCUUUCUCCAUCCCAUUCCGUUUUACAACUAUCAUGUUAAAGAAUGAUAAUUGUUUUGUUGACUCUUAAAUUUAAGCUUUUAUGAAUGGGAUGUGGAAUUCGAAUCUCAAUGAAGAAGACGAUAUCCAAUAGGGUUUGAGGCGGGAUUGUGGAUAUUUAACUUUUAUGGGGAUGGGGAUGAGUGUGAAAUAAUUGUUUCUUCGAGUAAAUUUUGUUAGGGGUAUAACUUACCACGAAGCUACAAACCCAACAUUAUUGCAUAUGUUUCUUCCUUUGCAGGCGAAAUAGUCCUCUGGGAGGGUGCAAAGGAUAGGAAGCUUCUCACUGGCCAUGUGACGGCAUGUGGAAAAUACGUAACAAAAGGCUUUACUUGGUGGCGUUUACACCUACGCCAUUAUUAUUAUUAGGCACCAUUUUAUAUUUAUAUUCAAAACUCAAAGCAGUGCAUGAACUGAUGCAAAAAAACAAAAACAAAAAAGAUUUAGGGGCUUUUAAGAUAUUUCCAUGUUGAGUCGGUUAGCUUGGCAAGUCAGUUUGAUCUUAAGGCUUUUCAUAAUUCAUUCAUAAUGUAGGAAAACACUUAAAAGGAAAGUGAUUGCUUGCAUAAUUACUUAUGAUAAUUUUGAUCUCCAUUUAAAGGAAAGUGCUUGGAUGAUCCCCUUUUUUUUUUCUUCUCAAAACUUGCUUUCAAAGUUCAUUUUCCAUCAUAUUUCAACUCCUUUUCUUCAAGAUACUUCUACCAUCAUACAUCAUAGAUGCAUCCAAAUGACUAUCUAGGGUUCAUUGGCUCAUCAUCACCCACUAUUAGUUUCACUUUUUUAUUAAUAGGGUGAUCAAUUACCCUUCAAACCAAUUCAAGACAGCUUAAUCAACCCAAUUAGAUAGUCAUCAUUUUGUGUCACCAAGAAUAUUAUCCCUUUCUUUCACCUCCAUGUCUUUUCUUCCCCAUUUUUCUUCUCAUUGUUUUUGGAACUCUCCCCUUCUUAGAAUGACCCACCAAUCAAAGGGUUUCUUUCUUCUCUCUCCCCCAAUGCUUUAUUCCACCAACUUUUUGUUUUUGUCUCUUUCAUUAACCCAUGGUUAACAGAAAGAAGCAUAGCCACAGAUUCUAGUCAGAUUUUAGCAGCAAAGCGCAUGAAGACAACAAACGAAUCCAUUGGGUGCAAGUUGCAUAGAACAAUUUUGGCUUUGGGCAUUCAUAUUAACCACAAAGGUUAGGUUAAAAGUUAAUUGUGAUUUACUUAACAGAGAUUUAAACAGGAAAUUGGGAUUUGGUGGUUUCAAAGAAGAUCUUGUAGGGACAUUUGUAAUUCCCAAAGUAGGGAUAAAGAAUCAGCAUGGAUGUCAGUGCAAGUGCAGAAGAGAAUACCUUUGUGUGUGUAGAAUCUAGUAGGCAUUGGCCACAAACCACCCCACCCUUCUUUAUGGACAUUUGGGGAUAUCCUUGGCUUCUUUUUGCGGCUUCCAUGUUUUGUAAAAGUGCUUUUACCCAAGGCAUUUUCUUCUUGUUUUUAUGAGAAAAUUGAGAGAAUCAGCAGCAAAGAAUUUGGUAAAGGGCCCUCUGCAUUCUCUGGAAACUGCACUAAGUGUACUUGGUUUCUUUGGCCACAGUACAUAAGAGAUGCAACAAGAGGAAAAGAAAACAAUCAAAUAAGUUCUACAGCACCAAGUACCAAAUAAUUGAACUCCAACAUGUCUAUGAGUAAGGCUCCAAUGAUUCAAAUUUUGGGUUUGGUCGUACCCAAAUAGUAAUAUUCUAAAGGAAAAUGCAACUAAGAUCAAAUAUUUCGAGCCGCUUCCGUGAAAAAUUCAAACUUUCUUUUUUAAUACUUCAAUCACAUAAAAAUAUAAACUUUGAGAUUCAAUAGCUAAAUACAUGGCAAUUGAAUCAUGAGCCGAGAUCAUAAAGAGCAUACAAGUAUACAAAGUGGAUGUCAUUGUAGGUGUCAAAUGAGUGAAGAAGAAGAAAAGAGUCAUGUGCUUUUAGGUGUGCCAACUAAUAUUAUCUUUCCAUGGUUUGAUCUCAAGUCUCAUAUCUGGAUGUGGUUUUCUUCUCUUUGGAUUUAUAUAUGACAAUAUAUAUAUAUAUAUAUAUUUAUAUUUAUAUAUAUUUUAAAAAAACAUUUAAAACACCCAAAUUUAUACACCAGUCAUAUUUUAUACUGUAUUUCUUUUUUCUAAUAUUAUAACACUUAAAGAAAACCCAAGUAAAUGACAAAUAGUGUAUCAUAUCCACCCACCAUCUAAUAAUGCUAAAUUAGUAGAAAGUUAAGUCUUUUUUUAGCAGUGUUUCUUUCAUUUGAUCCAAGACUUUUCUACAAGAGGCCUAUGUCAGAAUUAGUUAUUUGAUUUCAUAAGACUCUGCCAGAAUUUGACUCAGCAACAACCAAUUUCUAACCAUGUGUCUUCAAGCCAAGAAAUAAGACAAAGUAGGCCCUUCUGAAGAUUUCAACUUUUGUGAAUUGCUUAACUUUGAGCAAAUUGAUGGUGCAUAGAAGAAAUUUGAUUCCCUAUAUUUUUUUCUUCUCACUUGCUAAUAUCCAGUCAUUCGGUUGCAAACGACAAUGACUUUCAUUAAAUGAAAAUUGUUUCAUAGGAAAACAUCCAAAUGGUUAAGAACUUAAAGAAAGUUGAUGUUUGAAGUAUAUUUUAGAGAGGGGAUAAGGAGAACAACACUUUCAGAAACAAUGAAGGAAGAGAAAAUUUUAUAUAUUGAUUAAGAUUAUCGACCUGAUAACGAGAGAUUCACCUUAAUCAGCGACUCAUUGUCCGUACACAUAUCAAUAAUUUUCAUGUAACGUAAUCUUGUUCGGCAAGCUUCUAUCACCAUUUGAGAGAGAGAGAGAGAAAAAAAAUUGUAUAAAAUUAAGAGGUAGAUAAAAAUUGGUCAUAGGUUUGGUCAUUGGUGGUUGAGGAGACUUUUAGAGCUCGAUGUCGAUACUAAAUGUGUGAAAAAACACAUCAUGGUCUUGUAGUUCAUAUUCACACUUGCCAACCGACAUAAUCAAUUUCUAGUUUCUACCAUCAAUAAUGUAUUGGAGUGUAGUUUGGUUUGGUGCUUUUAACUAAAAUUAGUACAUGUAUUGAAAUUAUUGCUCUCUUUUUUUGUUGCCCACGUACCCUUUUACCAUCUGCUGGGAAAGUGCAGUGCAGCUAACCCUACUUUUCCUUGAUUAAAAAAUUAUUUUUAUAAAAUAAAUAAAUAAAUAAAAAAACCGUUCUCAAUGUUGUUUUCUAAGUAACAUUUUAGGAUUUUUAAAAAGCAAAACAAAAUAAUUAAAGAAACAAAACUGAUGAAAGAAAGGCUAACAAUUUUCUUUCUGGGAAAGCAAUGGGUUCUUUAUGAAAAAGGGUUUAAGCUUUUAAUCCACCCAAACAAAGUCUUUGUUUCUAAUUCAUCAGAGGUUAUGAAAUUUUCAAUACAUCCACAUCCAAAUCAUGUUUUUUUUUUUCCUUUUUUUUUUCUUUUUUUUUUUCCUUCUAUGUUGCAUCAUUGUUAGGCUUUAGGCUUUAGGCUUUAGCUGGUGGGAGAAGUAAUAUUUUGGAACCCAGAGGUUUCCUCUGUCAUGAUAAGUGGGGCCAAGUGGGUGCAAGAGACGUGUCAAUUAGACUUUUCCCAUGUAUCCAUAUUCAAUCGGACGGUGGUGAAGAGUCUUGCUUUUCCAAACACUUUAUUGAAGUCACAAUCGGCCCAUUCACAUUCUAAAUUCUAGUAUAGAAAGAAAUUUUAAAAAAUAUGUUAUUUUCUUUAGGCUUUUUGUCUUUCUGAGUUGAUUAAGAAAAAGCAGUGAGCUUCACUUUUUGACUAAGCGAGCACAACACAACUGAGGGUCAUGGAUUAAUACAAUCGUACUCAUUAAAACUCAUUUAUAUUGUUUUUUUAUAUAAAUGAUAUUCUAUUUUAAUUUAUUUUAAACUACAUAGAGGGGUAUUCAAACUCGGAUGUAAACACUGAAAUUCACUUACAUUAACAAUGAAGAUCGAUGGCAGACAAUAUUAAUGAUAUUUUAUUACAUAUAUAACUAUAUAUCUUGAAGCUAAUGCCAAUAGCGUAUUACUUGGAUCUGGUUUUGAAAAGAAUUAGGGUUUGAGCAACAAGAUCUUUCUUAGUGACUUGAGCCUCUAUAGUUUAUUGAAUGGACUUUAAUUUUGAUUAGUUGUAAAAUAAAGAAGAUUAAUAACUUGUUUUGAAACACUGAAACACAUGAGGUUUUUGAGGAGAAUUAUGAAGAAAAGAUAUGAACCAACCAUUGAGAUAACAUGUGGGUGAGCUCGACAAACAAUUUGAAAUCCUGUUUGUUGAAUAAAGCCAAGCAUAGAAAACGAUUGGUCUUAACCCAUCACACCAUAUGGGCAUCUUAACUAGGACACAUCAUGCAGUGAACAAAAACCCAACAAAUUUCAUCUAAGUUAUUUAGAUCAAAUCAUAUAAAUAAUAAACCCAAUUAGUAGCUAUAAUUGAUGAGCCUUGUCAAGUGACACAUGAUGACAUAAGGUAUUUGUGUAAUUUAAUUGGUUAAUGCCCAUGGUUAUGAUUGAGUAAUAAGAAAAACCAAACAAUGCCUUGGUACUGAAAAUUGAUGGGUCACCAAUUUCCACUACCUUGCUACACUACCACCAAACAACUCAAAAGCAACCAAAAAGUUCUUUAAAAAAUAAAAGUUAUUGGUUAGUGCUGGUUAACGAUUUAUAAUAUUUGGUUCAUUGUCGAUUAUUUGAUUGUUAUUAUAAAUAUUAACUUUAAUAGACAGUUACUCAUAUAAAAAAUAGAAAUUCAGAGUAAUUUUGGAAUGAGACCGUAAUCUAAUAUUAAACAUUUUUUUUACGCGAAUAAAAAACUAAUUUUCCUCAUAAUUAGUGAAAGUACUUUGAAAUGUCCCUAAACACAUUACACCUACUUUAGCAUACUUGCUUUUCCACCAUACAUACAUGAUCACAUAGAUCAUCAUCAUCUUCAUUAAAAACCAUGUAAUAUAUAUACCCCCACACACAUCCCCAACCAAAGCUCAUUUACUAAAGGGUCAACUCUCAAACCCAACUCUAACUCAACUCCAACCGUCCUUCCUCUCUCUCUCUCAGUCUCCCUCUCCACCUCCACCGCAAACUACCGCGGCCGCCGCCAUGUCGUACAAGGACUGCGGCCAACACGGAUACAACAAGCGGCGAAGGAGGUUUAAACGCUGCUGCGCCGGGCUCCUAAUCUUCAACUUCAUCCUGCUCGUCACCAUCCUCAUCGUGUGGGCCAUCCUCCAGCCCUCCAAACCCCGCUUCAUCCUCCAAGACGUCACCGUCUUCAACUUCAACAACUCCGUACCCAACGUCUUCUCCUCCAGCUUCCAGGUCACCGUCUCCUCCCGCAACCCCAACGACAAGAUCGGCAUCUACUACGACAGGCUCAACAUCUACGCGACAUACCGUAAUCAGCAGAUCACCUUCUCCACGCUCAUCCCGCCGGUGUACCAGGGUCACAAGGACGUCAACGU
rnacentral:lncRNA from 1 species